GGCGGCAGCGGUGGCAGCCGUGGUGAGGCGAGUGGGUCCAACUUUCCUGCUGGCCUCAGGGGGUUGGGGCGCGGAGGGUCGCGAUGUCCGAGAAGAAGCAGCCGGUAGACUUGGGUCUCCUGGAGGAGGACGACGAGUUCGAGGAAUUCCCUGCGGAAGACUGGACUGGUUUAGAUGAAGAUGAAGAUGCACAUGUCUGGGAGGAUAAUUGGGAUGAUGACAAUGUAGAGGAUGACUUCUCCAAUCAGUUACGAGCUGAACUAGAGAAACAUGGUUAUAAGAUGGAGACCUCAUAAUAUCCAGAAGAAGUAUUGAAGCAACCUAAAGUUGAACUAUUUACUAAAUUCUAGGUCACAGAAUCCAGGAUGAAUAAACUUAAAAAAUGUUUAUUUCAUUACUUGCUUGGCUUUAUUUUUGCUUUUGUAACACAAAAAAUAAAUGUUUUGAUCUAA